UUGACGUGAAAAAUAUUGACUUCAACUCGAGAUAGGUUGGCAUGGCUUCGGAUGGUUCGGUUUGGCUGGCGGAUGGCUACAUAGCGACUAUGCUCUGGGCUCGGGCUGGCACUGUUCUGGCCCCGUGGCUGCCUUCGUUGCUUCAGCGCCUCAGCUUAGCUCAGCUCAACUCAACACGACACGGCACACAUUUCGUCUGUCGUUGCGUUCUCUAGUCCGUCGUUAUUUCAGAGCGGCUGGUUCGUAUGCCAUAGGAAAGUUUCAGUAUCGUUUUGGUAGUUGUCGAGUACUUAUCGACUUAGAAUCAGUCGGCUCUACACUAAAUAUUGUAUUUCCGUAAUUACCCGGUUAGGAAAGUAGUACCUAGUGUCUGUAGAACUCUGCUUCUGUUCUCUUUAUCUCUGUACGGGGUUGAAUCGGAUCUUUGCGGAAACGGAACGGUUUUCGGGAAAAUCGCGCGCUAGUAUCGACUAAACAGGCUCAGCCCAAGAAAGCGCGCAUCGAGAUCGGUAUAGUCGAUAGUUCGGUUUGAGUAAGUAGUUCCGGCGAAAUGGUACUUCCUAAUUGAGAAGAUAAAUAGGAGUAGAUUGAAGUUGUGGCUGAAGCGCAAGGUAUCUCUAAUCUCCAGCAACGUGCUCCAUCGACGAUUGCCGACAGUAUCUGUUGUUGACAUCCAUAGUGGAAUUGCCCGGCUUGUAUCUGAAUCUUCGUCGCUUGACGGUGAUUGAGCACUAUUUGUUCUGUGAACGAUAGGUUGCGUAGCGUAUCUUCUGACUAAUGCACUAUCGACAUCGUCGAUAACGUAAGAAUCACGACUGCUCAGCACAAACAGCAACUGACUAUCUUUCGAGGGUAGAGAGGCUUCGCAAAGUGUUCCCAGGCCAGGCAAGCUACGACUAGUGCCCUUGUAACCCAACACCGAAAAGAUACUAAUAAGUACUUAAGCUGUUUAAAUAUUUGCCGGGCGCAUAUCGACCGCCGCGAGCGCUGCUGCAACGCAUACAGAGUGCAAUCGAGUGCAACAUUGCAGCCUAGUCUAUCUGCAUCCGUCGCUAGAUCGAUUGAUUGCUUCAAAUUGGCCGUGCCGUCCGUGCAGGUUGCCUGAAUCGUUUACUGGCCAAAUUAGACCCUCGGCCGACCCAAAAGCCGUGUCGCCCGGGCUGAUAAGAACAUCUGAUGGCACGCAGAUACGCGUGAACCCUCUAUAGAUACUCAGAUACAAGAUUUCGUGUGUUAUCGUACCGAAUUGUUGCUAGUCCAUUCGGAACGAAAUUUGCGCGGGAAAUGAACGAGUGGUGCUGGUACUUCGGUCGUCUUUGUUGUUAUGUAGUUGAUGAAUAACAACGAAUACAAUAUAAUAUCGCAAAUUGACGCUAUUAAAAUUCAAUUAAAUCUAAUUUAACCAAGAAGAGCUGCCAAUCUCUGCUCGUAUCGCUUUCGUCUUGUCCACAGCGCUGUUUCGCUAGAGUAGUUAACGUUUCGGUCUGUCCGUUCGGGGAUACUUACAAAUAGAUACAAGGCGUUCACUCAGAUUCCUGGUACAGGACGAAAGGAAGACCAACCUUACCCCAAUCAUCAGCUAAUUUUGAUGCUUGAAGCCAGCGAAAUUCCAAGCAAUUUACACUUUUCGCGCACUUAAUUACUCGUCUAAUAUCUUAUACCAACGAACUAAGUUCAGUGGAUACCUAGUUUGGGGAACAUUACCCCCGCAGAUUUCGGCUUUGUCUUUCAGGACUCUUCAAUCAGAGCUAACCAACUAGCACGUGUUCGAAUCUAGAUACACUAAUCAAACUCAAAUCCUGUAACUCAUCUACAGCAUUUUGGUCCAGCAUUCUGCAAACUUCUCAAAGAUACCGUGGAAAGUAUUAAAAAAAAUUAAGAUAUAAGAUAAUCUAGCAUUAUAAAAAGUGUAUCCAUAAUUGCAACUAGUGUGUGUGCUAAUCAAGUGCAAUUUAAUUUUGUAAAUUUAAGUCAGAAUAAUAAUUCGAAAGUGUGCAACCCUCUCAUCUCUCACAAGGUCUGGAAAUUGUGUUCAAUCAAAUUGAAAAAGAAAAAAUUAUUUUUUCGAAAUAUUGUUCUUUUUUUAAAAAUAAAAUAAAAGUGAAAUAAGAAAAGUGUGCUAUUAAAAUUUUUUUCUAUAUAAAGAAAAAAAAGUAUCUCUCUCUAUAUAUAUAUAUUAUAUAUAAAUAUAUAUUUUCAAAAAAAAUAUUUAGUGAAAUUUAAAUUUAAUCUAACAAAAAGAAAAGCUAACAAAAUGAUGGAUCAUCAAUCACAGCAAGAUAUGUCUACCGGCUCACCAGCUGAGGUGCCAAAUGAUCCAGGAUUUGCUACAUAUGAGGCGCAGGAUCUACAAGUUUGGAAAAUGUUCAUCGGAGGACUGAGUUGGCAAACAAGUCCAG
rnacentral:lncRNA from 1 species